rnacentral:rRNA from 1 species
GAUGAACGCUAGCGAUAGGCCUAACACAUGCAAGUCGAGGGGCAUCACGGAGUAGCAAUACUUUGGUGGCGACCGGCGCACGGGUGAGUAACGCGUAUGCAAUCUACCUACAACAGGGGGAUAACCCGGAGAAAUCCGGACUAAUACCGCAUAACACAGGGGUCCCGCAUGGGAAUAUUUGUUAAAGAUUUAUCGGUUGUAGAUGAGCAUGCGUUCCAUUAGGUAGUUGGUGAGGUAACGGCCCACCAAGCCUGCGAUGGAUAGGGGAACUGAGAGGUUUGUCCACCACACUUGAACUGAGACACGGACCAGAGUCCUGCGGGAGGCAGCAGUGAGGAAUGUUGGUCAAUGGGCGAGAGCCUGAACCAGCCAAAUCGCGUGAAGGAAGACUGACUUAUGGGUUGUAAACUUCUUUUGUACAGGAAUAAAAAGAGGGACGUGUCCUUCAUAGCAUGUACUGUACGAAUAAGCAUCGGCUAACUCCGUGCCAGCCGCCGCAGUAA